GCGGACUGGUGAGUAACGCGUAAGCAAUCUGCCUAUCAGAGGGGAAUAACAGUGAGAAAUCACUGCUAAUACCGCAUAAGCUGUGAGUAUCGCAUGAUACAAGCAGAAAAGGAGCAAUCCGCUGAUAGAUGGGCUUGCGUCUGAUUAGAUAGUUGGUGGGGUAACGGCCUACCAAGUCGACGAUCAGUAGCCGGACUGAGAGGUUGAACGGCCACAUUGGGACUGAGAUACGGCCCAGACUCCUACGGGAGGCAGCAGUCGGGAAUAUUGCGCAAUGGAGGAAACUCUGACGCAGUGACGCCGCGUGCAGGAAGAAGGUUUUCGGAUUGUAAACUGCUUUAGACAGGGAAGAUACAAGACAGUACCUGUAGAAUAAGCUCCGGCUAACUACGUGCCAGCAGCCGCGGUAAUACGUAGGGAGCAAGCGUUAUCCGGAUUUAUUGGGUGUAAAGAGUGCGUAGACGGGAAGUUAAGUUAGUUGUGAAAUCCCUCGGCUUAACUGAGGAACUGCAACUAAAACUGGUUUUCUUGAGUGCUGGAGAGGAAAGUGGAAUUCCUAGUGUAGCGGUGAAAUGCGUAGAUAUUAGGAGGAACACCAGUGGCGAAGGCGACUUUCUGGACAGUAACUGACGUUGAGGCACGAAAGUGUGGGGAGCAAACAGGAUUAGAUACCCUGGUAGUCCACACCGUAAACGAUGGAUACUAGGUGUAGGAUGUGAUAAACAUUCUGUGCCGUCGCAAACGCAGUA
rnacentral:rRNA from 1 species